rnacentral:lncRNA from 1 species
CUGGUCUCAAACUCCCGACCUCAGGUGAUCUGCCCACCUCGGCCUCCCAAAGUGCUGAGAUUACAGGCGUGAGCCACCGUGCCCAGCCAAGUUUAAUUUUUACACCAAUGAUUCAUUUCUGCUUUUACAGGUGAUUACUUUAUCUCACUAGAAAAAAAAAAUGUAAAAAUCUAAACAAAAAGUGUCCAAAACUUACAAUAAGCCUUAAUCUCGAAUAAUUACCAUGACAUGUGUUACUUGUGUGCUUAUUGCUGUACAGCCUUCUUUGGCUUUCUGACAAGAGCAACUGCUGAGCAGAAGCACUUCAGCCUCGUCUGGCAUUUGAUGAAUUUGAUUAAUGUGUGCUAUGGUUUUUGGGGAACAGGUGACAUUUGGUUACAUGAUUGUCCUGAAGCUAGGAACUUAUCCACAGGGCAAAAAUUGGAGAAUGCUUCUCUAACACAGUUGAAAGAAUGAUCCAGUGAGAAUUAGAAGACACUAAGGAUCAUGUGAAAGAGCUCCCUGAGGACAGAUUAAGAGGAGAUGAGUUAAAGCUGCAAAUACCAAGAUUUAAGAUGAAAUUAAGAAUGCUGAUCAGCUAAAGGACCUUCACAUACAAAGGUUAUCCUGGAUUAUUCAGGUGGGCUCAACGUAAUCACAAGGAUCCUUUAAAGUGGAAGAAUGAGGUCAGAGUGAUGUGAUGUGAAAAGCACUCAAUUUGCCUUUGCUAGUUUUGAAGAUGGAAGAAUGGGGCCAUGGUCCAAGGCAUGCUGGUGACCUCUAGAAGCUGAAAAAGUUAAGAAAAUGGAAAAGAAACUUCAGCGCAGUGAGGCCCAAUUUGGACUUCUGACUCCAGAACUGCAAGAUAAUACAUUUGUAUCCAUUAAGCCACUAAGUUUGUGCUAAUUUGCUAUGGCAGCAACAGGAGACUAAUACACCUUGGCAGCCCUAUUUGCAUCACCUUGCGGGUACUGGGGUUUGGAGGAAUUGGCUCAGAUGCUGAUACCGUGGCUACUACUAUUGUGUCAGAAACGUGACUGAAACAUUUCUUCCUCUUAAGAGGCAUUAAGAGAAAAGGAUAGAUUUCCUGUUUCUUUUGCAAUUUUCCUCUUUAAGAAACAGAAAGAAAAAAAGAUCUUAUGUCCAUGCUCCUGGAAGUCACCAAUAAAUAAUACGGGCCAGGGCUUUUUCUUUUCAGCAGUGGGCUGAUUAAAUCCUUAUACUUGUUCUGGGUUAUAUGUCUGAAAUUUGUGUUCCUUUUGUUCUGAGGAGUACAAAAUAAUCAAUUCCUCUAAUGGAGAUUACCAGCUUGAUUAAUAGAUAAUCCUAAUGUGUUCUUUGUAAAAUACAUUAUAAAUGAUCUUUAAAGUUGAAGGAAAGAAGAUUGGGCCAUGUAGAAAUUUGGUUCUCAACAGAACCUCUUCUUGAUUGAAGAAAUAUAAGCAAAGAGUUUUAUAUAUUUCGGUAAGGGUAGGUAGUCUAUGCAUUUUCUGUUCUGAGUAUUACAAAAGGAAAAGGGAAUAAAAGCUUCUGCAUAUAGCAGAGAUAAACUCCAAAAGCAGGAGACCAGUGAAGCCCUGGAUCACUGCACUCCUCCAGCCUUCAAGGAGCAUGAAGAGGGUCCACAUAACAACAGAAGAUGCUUCAGAACAAAUUAUGAGUCCAUAAGAGAUAAAUUAGUGUCUUUAUUCAUUGCAAAGGAAUGGUUAUUAUAAAAAAAUCCCUGAUGCUGUCUCUCAGACUGAACUUACGUAUAGGCAGGAGAACACAUGUAAUUUAUUGACUGAUAAAACUGUAGGUAAGAAUACAUAUGACUUCUAUAACUUGUAUGAAAAAUGAAACUACACUUAAAUGUAGGAGCAGUUUAUAUUGUUUGAUAUUUAACUGGUUGAGUGGUUAACAUAUAAUAUUUAAAAAAAUCUUCUUUUAGUAGGCAGUUUAAUGCUUAUGGUCUAAUUUUUAUUUGAAGACAUUUUGCUGCAGCAGAAACAUAGCUGUGAUUCAUAUACCUACUCUUGAUAUUAGCCUGGCCGUUUGUCCUGUGACGCUUAAGCUAGUUACCACCAUUUAUCUGGUAACUGUUUCCAGAAUUGAAGAGAUGAUGCCUGGAAGGAGAUAAACUUCAGGAGUUCACCUUUAAGCCUAAAAAGUACCAGCAAAAUGCAAUGACAGGAUAAAAAGUUUGUCAUAAAUAUUUUCACAAGAUGGAAGACAAGAAAGCAAAGAGCAGCAUAGAAAGAAUGAAGGAAUAAAUAAAAAUAAGUGAAAAUGCUGCAUUUUCUCUCAUGGGAUAGAUUUUUCAACAACUCCUGAACUAUGACCUCUCAAGUUCUUUUGCAGUUCUGUUCUAAGAAGUAAUGAAAUACAUUUAAUAUUCCUGUCUUUUCACAACAUUAAUUCAUUCCUACUUUAGCCUUAAGAAUUUUAGUAGAAUCUAUUGUUUAUUCAUGCGUAUAAAUAUUGUGGAAAAAUAUCUUUAGAUGAGUUAGUAUAUAUGAGACACUUAGGCCAGGAUUUGGCACAUGUCUGUACUUCAUAAGUGUUUGUUAUUGUUAUUUUUAACAAGAGUAAAAAAAGAUCUUAUGACGCAUCUAAUAUCAUUUAAGCUGUUUAUGGUUACUCCUUGGAAUGCCUUCUGGUCAAAAGUUUCUGCAGCCCAGCACGACAUUAAUUUGAAUGCAUUGAGCCGGUUUCCCAGAGGGCUGGAUGACAUUUUUGACUUUUUAGGAUUUUUGAGACUUUUUCUAAUGACUAAGGUCAAAAUCUCCCUUUCCUUGUCUCUUGAGUUUUAGGGGGCAACCAGAGAUGUUUUGAAGGAAACCAACCAUUAGAUGUCACUUUCUUCUCACUGCUUUUGGUUUUAGGACCUAUGACCUGGGUUUAAGCCUUUUGAUUUUCUUCUUUUUUUUGAAUGUCUAUAAAUAGUCUCUAUGUCAAAGCUAAACGGGAAAUUUAAUUUUAGAUUAGUAGAUAAGAGACAAUACUCAACUCCUUGGAAUGAUGAAAUUUUGGACCUGUUUUAAAUUGGCCUGACUCAAUGUCCCUAGUUGACUAAAUUUGGAAAUGUAGUAUUUGUGCUUUUCUUUCUCACUGAAGUUAGUGUGGCACUGUUUCUACACCAGACACUUAGGCCUGAGUGUAUGAGUGUAUCCUUAUUCAGGUCAAAGCUAAUGAGUUUUUUUUUUUUUUUCCUUAGCAAUCACUGAAUGAAAAACAUAUUCUUCAGAUAUCUGUUUAGAAUUGCUUUUCCAGAAAACCUUUGUGAUCUUUCUCCCCCAACAGAAGGGCUCAGAAACACAUAACAGUUUGAAAAAGAGAAAAAAUACUGCUGCUAUGGUCUGAACAUUUAUGUCUGCUCCAAAAUUCAUGUUGAGACUUAAUCCCCAUUGUGGUGGUAGUAGGAGGGGUGCCUUUAGCAGGUGGUUAGGCCAUGGGGGCUCUGCCCUUGUGAAUGGAUUAGUGUCUUGUAAAAGGACUAGAGGGAACUGGCUUAAGGUCUCCUUACUCCUCCUCCUUCUGCCAUGUGAGGAUGCCACUGCAAGAACAUGCCACUGAUGGAGCAGUCCUCACCAGACGCCAAACCUACCAGUGCCUUGACCUUGGACUUCUCAGCCUCUAGAGCUGAGAGAAAUACAUUUAUAUUCUUUAUCAAUUGCCCAGUGUCAGGAACUUUAUUAUAGCAGCACAAAUGGAUGAAGAUAACUGCCAAUCAUGAUUUUAGGAAAGAACCUGACUCAAGAACAUCUUCUUGGCCGGGCCCGGUGGCUCACGCCUGUAAUCCCAGCACCUUGGGAGGCUGAGGUGGGCAGAUUACGAGGUCAGG